rnacentral:Y_RNA from 1 species
GGCUGGUCUGAGCGCAGUGGGUGUACAAGGAAUUGAUGACAGCCUGUUACAGGUUUCUUUGCUCCUUUUCCAUUUCCACUGCUGCUUCACUCGACUAGCCUUUA